UACAGAGGGUGCGAGCGUUGUCCGGAAUCACUGGGCGUAAAGGGCGCGUAGGUGGUGGCUUAAGCGUGCGGUGAAAGCUCGGAGCUCAACUCCGAGUCGGCCGUGCGAACUGGGCUCACUGGAGCAUAGUAGAGGCAGGUGGAAUUCCGGGUGUAGCGGUGGAAUGCGUAGAGAUCCGGAAGAACACCGGUGGCGAAGGCGGCCUGCUGGGCUAUGGCUGACACUGAGGCGCGAGAGCGUGGGGAGCAGACAGG
rnacentral:rRNA from 1 species